rnacentral:rRNA from 1 species
AAGCGUGCGCAGGCGGUUAUGUAAGACAGAUGUGAAAUCCCCGGGCCUCAACCUGGGAACUGCAUUAGUGACUGCAUAGCUGGAGUACGGCAGAGGGGGAUGGAAUUCCGCGUGUAGCAGUGAAAUGCGUAGAUAUGCGGAGGAACACCGAUGGCGAAGGCAAUCCCCUGGGCCUGUACUGACGCUCAUGCACGAAAGCGUGGGGAGCAAACAGGAUUAGAUACCCCAGU